ensembl:lncRNA
GAACCAGACAGAUAAUGCAGGCUGGACCGCGUUACACGAGGCCAGUGCUGCAGGCUUUGAGGCUGUGGUUCUGGAGUUACUACGGGCCGGGGCUGAUGUCACCUGCAGGGGAUUGGAGGGCAUAACACCUCUUCAUGAUGCAGUUGCUUCCGGACAAUAUGAGGUAGUGAAGCUUCUUCUCCAAUAUGGUUCAAACCCCCAAGAGAGGAAUGCUGUGGGCCAGAACGCUGUGGACAUUGCCAGCCGCGACAACAUGAAACAACUCCUCUCUACAUUCCAGGGCCCGUUUGUCCUACAUGAGCAGCUUAGUGAAGCACCUAAACAAGGAUGUGCCGUGCCAUCUGAGCUCUGUGUUGCCUCUGAGCCUGCGUUGGGCUCUGAGGGUCACAACAGGAAAAAGCCAGCUGGCCACAAUGAUCUGGGACUGAGUGACUGGGCCAGACACACAUCCAGGAGCAGAGACAGACAAUCAGCCAGACACCCAGGUGUCCCAGACAAAGACAUGGGUGACCAGGAGUCAGGGCGCAGAGACAAAGCCGGGGAGCCCGUUGACCUUCAGUCCAGUCAGAAAGACUGCACCUCUGUGAUACAAAAUAAUGCUGAAGCCAUCACUAAAGCCCUGGAGGGUGCAGAGAGACAGCUAGAGGAAUUGUCCAAGUGGAGUUUGAAUGAGUCAGAGAAUGCAGUCAAAUUAAGAGAGGCACUCUCAGAGAUUCAAAGUGUUCUAAAUGAUGUACUUGCCAAACAGCAAGCAGAAAAAGAUGACCUCACCAGGAAGUACAGGAUAGCGUCAGAUUUGUUCAGGCAAGGCGUGCUGCGUGGUCAGCUGACCUCAUUGGCAUCUCGUCAGAAGAAACUGCUGGCUAUCCUCCAGAAGCACAGCGACUUUAAGCUUCAUCUCCACACAAAGAGAGGCCAAGCUCAGCCUCAGCAACCUAGUACAGAGCACUCGCAGACACGUGGACACCAGGACUCCCCUUCCCUGACCAAAUCUACCAGCCCUGCUCCCUCAGAUAGGAGUCUUGCAGGAAAUGAAGGGAAUCCUGCUUCCAACCUAUCCAGUUUUAUUGGUAUUCAUGAAAACCGUAAUAACAUGGAAGAUAUUGGCCAGACAGCUCAGGUAGCGCCACCACAGAUACAACCACCGACACGACCCACUACUGCAGUAAUGUUACCUUGGACCGCCACACAGAAGCCCAACAUCUCCAAGGCAAUAUUGACCCCUGAAAUGGUGACCACAAUGGUUAAUGUGGUUCCUCCUCAAAUUGUACCCCCUCUGUCCAUUCCCGUGACAACCAACCUUCAGACUGCCUCCGGACAUGUCCUGGUAUCGAUGCCUAACGCUCCUCCGACUGCCCGUUCUCAAGAUCCACCCACCGCCAUUCCAAUGAGUAAAACAGACAUUCCGACACAACACUGUGAUAAUAACAAUGAGAGUUUCGUCAUCUUUCCAUCCCAUUCAGAAAAGAGAAACCAUCUACCACCACAAGUGAACAAAUCUAAUAUUGUACUAUGCAUGACAGAAACGAGGAUGGCUGUUGAGGGAGAGGAGAACAGGAAGUUGAUCAGCCUGAUCCAGAGAGGUAUCAUCACACCAGGAGAAGAUCCUCUACAGCUGAUGUGGAAGGGCAGAGUCCACCAGGCGUGUCUGCUCCAUGAUGGGUCGAUCAGAGACAGAGUGAAAGAUAAGGUUUUCCAGGCUCCAGAGCAUUGGGUGGCAGCCAUCCUAGGAAACAACAUCCCUGUCUCCUCUACCUACGCCUGGGACAAGAGUCUUCGUCAGUUUUCCAAAAUAUAAUGCAAAUCAAGUUGAUUCGAUUGAUCAGUGACGAUGAGUUAGUACCCCAUCAUAUAAUGGACCACUACUGGGACAACCUCACUCAGGCGGACAAGUUUUAUCCCCUUUGAAGGCUCAUUAUGAAUAUUAUUUUUCACUGUUGUCAUGAUUAAUGUGACUUGAACAUGUUUGUAUUCGGGAACAUUCUCAUACAGACAAACUGACAACUGGUGGUUUAAAAUUCCCCAUGGAGAGAAACUGAUGAUAAAUGUAUUUAGCUAUGAUCUGAUUCAACACUUAAGUGUUGGUGAUGUAAAGUCUUUAUCCACCACAAGAGGUUGAAGAGAGACUGACUGUUAUGCUACAAAUGUUCUAAUUUUAUGUUAACAAAUGUUACUUGUAACAUUUAUUACAGUUAUGAUUCAUUAAGGCUUAUCAAACUUGUUCCAAUACAUGCAUAAUUUAUUGUAAAAUUAAUAGUUAAACACCUUUCUCACACGUUCAGUUUUUAUGUAGUCAAAUAUAUGUGGCCACGUUUGUGUUUGUGAAGACCUACAGUAUUUGUUAUAAUGGCAUAAUGUCUAUGCUUCUUGUUUUCUAAAUCUGGUAGUCCAACUGAGUAAGGCUGAUUUAGACAUCAAAUGUUUUUAUUUAACUUUAGAAUUUGUUAUAUUGUUCUCUAGCAAGUUUAAUAAAUUACAUUUAUU